rnacentral:rRNA from 1 species
UCGUUUAUUUGAUAGUACCUUACUACUUGGACAACCGUGGUAAUUCUAGAGCUAAUACAUGCUAAAAACCCCGACUCCGGGAGGGGUGUAUUUAUUAGAUAAAAAACCAAUGCCCUCCGGGGCUCUUUGGUGAUUCAUGAUAACUUAACGGAUCGCAUGGCCUUGCGCCGGCGACGGUUCAUUCAAAUUUCUGCCCUAUCAACUUUCGAUGGUAAGGUAUUGGCUUACCAUGGUCUCAACGGGUAACGGGAGAUUAGGGUUUGACUCCGGAGAGGGAGCCUGAGAAACGGCUACCACAUCCAAGGAAGGCAGCAGGCGCGCAAAUUACCCAAUCCCGACGCGGGGAGGUAGUGACAAUAAAUACUGAUACAGGGCUCUUUUGGGUCUUGUAAUUGGAAUGAGUACAAUUUAAACCCCUUAACGAGGAACAAUUGGAGGGCAAGUCUGGUGCCAGCAGCCGCGGUAAUUCCAGCUCCAAUAGCGUAUAUUAAAGUUGUUGCAGUUAAAAAGCUCGUAGUUGAAACUUGGGCCUGGCUGGCCGGUCCGCCUCACCGCGUGCACUGGCCCGGCCGGGCCUUUCCUCCUGGAGAGCCGCAUGCCCUUCACUGGGUGUGCCGGGGAACCAGGACUUUUACUUUGAAAAAAUUAGAGUGUUCAAAGCAGGCCUUUGCUCGAAUACGUUAGCAUGGAAUAAUAGAAUAGGACGUGCGGUUCUAUUUUGUUGGUUUCUAGGACCGCCGUAAUGAUUAAUAGGGAUAGUCGGGGGCAUCCGUAUUCAAUUGUCAGAGGUGAAAUUCUUGGAUUUAUUGAAGACGAACUACUGCGAAAGCAUUUGCCAAGGAUGUUUUCAUUAAUCAGUGAACGAAAGUUAGGGGAUCGAAGACGAUCAGAUACCGUCGUAGUCUUAACCGUAAACUAUGCCGACUAGGGAUCGGGCGAUGUUACUAUUCUGACU